GCUGCACUGGAUGGAGGAUGAGAAUGCGCUGACAUAGUGAGGAGACGUCUGGGCGUCACAUUCUACAGACAGAAGAUUUAGCUGGACCAGGCGGAGGCAAUGGUGACCAGAUGACCUACAUGUGGCCAGUGGGACUCCCCAGAGACACCCCUAUAAAACCAGAGGUGGAGCUACAAUCUCUUCUCUUCCUGCUGAGGUCCAGAGCAGUCGUCUCAGUGUGUGUGUCCAGGGCAUUGGAGGCCUCAAGCCUAAAGUCUGCAGCUACAAGUCCAGCUUAAGUAAACUAAAGUCAUCAUCACAAAGUCAGUCAAGUCAAGUCUGCUGUUUAGUCACUGUGGCCUGCACUAAAGUGUCCCAACCUACUACAAGUCCCAGCAAGCCUGCGAGGUCUCCCUGUGUCACUGGUCACCUCCCUGGGGUCCUGGCUGUACUGCAUAGACUGUACCAACUGUCUACCCACAGUAAAGCUACUGUUGUCCGUAACUUGGUGCCAGUGUCUCCAUUGCCCCCGUGCCUAGCCCAGGACCAGCGGUAUUACCUUCGGGUGGUUAAGGCUAAACCACGCCCUAGCAUCACAAAUACAAGGGGUUAACAACAACUGCCCCUAGGGUUAUAACAUCUACCCUCCUGACGAAGUGGGUUAGCCCACGAAACGACG